rnacentral:tRNA from 1 species
GCCCGAGUGGCGGAACAUGGUCAGACGCGAUGGAUUCAAAAUCCAUUGUCCGAAAGGACAUGCGGGUUCGAAUCCCGCCUCGGGCACCG